GUGGGGAAUAUUGCACAAUGGGCGCAAGCCUGAUGCAGCGACGCCGCGUGGGGGAUGAAGGCCUUCGGGUUGUAAACUCCUUUCGCUAUCGACGAAGCCACUUGUGGUGACGGUAGGUAGAUAAGAAGCACCGGCUAACUACGUGCCAGCAGCCGCGGUAAUACGUAGGGUGCAAGCGUUGUCCGGAAUUACUGGGCGUAAAGAGCUCGUAGGUGGUUUGUCGCGUCGUCUGUGAAAUCCCGGGGCUUAACUUCGGGCGUGCAGGCGAUACGGGCAUAACUUGAGUGCUGUAGGGGAGACUGGAAUUCCUGGUGUAGCGGUGAAAUGCGCAGAUAUCAGGAGGAACACCGAUGGCGAAGGCAGGUCUCUGGGCAGUUACUGACGCUGAGGAGCGAAAGCAUGGGUAGCGAACAGG
rnacentral:rRNA from 1 species